UAAGUACUCCCUCCGUCCGAAAAUACUUGUCAUCAAAAUGGACAAAAAGAGAUGUAUCUAGAACUAAAAUACAUCUAGAUACAUCCCUUUUUAUUCAUUUUGAUGACAAGUAUUUUCGGACGGAGGGAGUAGUGA
rnacentral:pre_miRNA from 1 species